UCCUUCGGGAGCACCGGCGGACUGCUCAGUAACACGUGGACAACCUACCCUCGGGUGGGGGAUAACCUCGGGAAACUGAGGCUAAUACCCCAUAGGCCUCGGAUACUGGAAGGUUCCGAGACCGAAAGCUCCGGCGCCCGAGGAUGGGUCUGCGGCCUAUCAGGUAGUUGGUGGUGUAAAGGACCACCAAGCCUACGACGGGUACGGGCCCUGAGAGGGGGAGCCCGGAGAUGGACUCUGAGACACGAGUCCAGGCCCUACGGGGCGCAGCAGGCGCGAAACCUUCGCAAUGCGCGAAAGCGCGACGAGGGGAGCCCGAGUGCCCUUCCUUUCGGGAGGGCUUUUCUGGAGCCUAAAAAGCUCCAGGAAUAAGGGCUGGGCAAGACGGGUGCCAGCCGCCGCGGUAAUACCCGCAGCUCGAGUGGUGGCCACUAUUAUUGAGCCUAAAGCGUCCGUAGCCGGACCCGUAAAUCCCUGGGUAAAUCCUGGCGCUCAACGUCAGGAAUUCCGGGGAGACUGCGGGUCUUGAGACCGGGAGAGGCCGGAGGUACUCCCGGGGUAGGGGUAAAAUCCUGUAAUCCCNG
rnacentral:rRNA from 1 species